rnacentral:rRNA from 1 species
AUUGAACGCUGGCGGCAGGCCUAACACAUGCAAGUCGAGCGGUAGAGAGGUGCUUGCAUCUCUUGAGAGCGGCGGACGGGUGAGUAAUGCCUAGGAAUCUGCCCUAGUGGUGGGGGAUAACGUUCGGAAACGGACGCUAAUACCGCAUACGUCCUACGGGAGAAAGCGGGGGAUCUUCGGACCUCGCGCCAUUAGAUGAGCCUAGGUCGGAUUAGCUAGUUGGUGAGGUAAUGGCUCACCAAGGCGACGAUCCGUAACUGGUCUGAGAGGAUGAUCAGUCACACUGGAACUGAGAC